UAUCACAAAAUUUAUUUACAUAUUCUAUACAGUUCCACUCCUAAUUGUGCAGUACCCUCACAAACAUUGUUUAGCCUCAACUUAUAAAGACGUAGCAGCAUUGGCUUCUUCAGUCCAUGGCAUUGGCUUACCACCCUUUGAAUUGAUGACCUUCUUCUCUACUACAUCUUCAUCAUCUGCCUUGGUGUUCGAUGGUUCUCUAUCCAAACGUGUAAUUAGAUCUUCAUUCAAUUAACUUAAUUCCCAUACUUGAGACUCAAGACAACAAUUUGGUUGUCGCGCUCCUCCAACAUCUUCUUCCAUUCUUCUGUUAGUUUCAAAGGUAUCUCUGAAGGUGUUGUCGCUGAAACUGGCGUAUUGGUCUACACUAAAUUAUUGGCCUCCUUCUCUAAUGUAACUAGUUUAGUCUGCAACAUCACAACCUCUACCUAUAGCCGCUCUUGUCGUUCCUUCCAAUCGGUCUCCAUCUUUACUUUCUUAGAUACCAUGUUCGCCAUCUUCUCCUUUUCUGCCAUCCACUUCUCUUUAAUUCUAACUUCUACUAAUGCAACGUCAAUUGGUGGUAAGUUUUAUGAAAUGUACAAAGAUCCAUGCCUAUGCACUCCUCAAAAAUCCUACUACUUCUCUUUAGUUUAAAAAACAUCCA
rnacentral:lncRNA from 1 species